GCUCCAUCUAGUAGAGACUGAAGAAAUUACUUGAAGGUGUGACUUCCAUUCUCACAGGACUUAGAGCUCCAUUUCGUGAUAACAGAAAAGAAAUGUUGGCAAAUAAAACCUAUUUAAUAUUUUUCAGUAUACCCCAAUUAGAUAAUAUGAACUACUAUGCUAUUUUGUGUAUGCCUGUUCCCAGACUUAGUUGUUUAAGGCUGUGGCAAAAUUCAGGAUUUCGGCAUUUUAAAUUAUAGGGAAAUGCAAAUGUUUUUAAAUUUUUGCUGCAUUACUUAUUCCUCCUAGGAUUUGGUUUUAUAAUAGGGUGGAAUCAGCAUGACUGAAAAAUGGAAGGAAAAAAGUACUUUCACUACAUUUCUAAUUCAUGUGUAAACUGUUUAAGAUGUGCAGAUGUGAGGCAGGAAAGCUUGCAAAAUUUCACGUUGGAUCAGGAUCAGAUAUUGGCUACAUUUUAGUGAUAGGUAAACAUAGGAAGAUGACAGUUUUUGACAUUAUUUUAAAAUUGUCACUACCUUAAAAAUCCUUGGAUUCUCAUAUCAAAUGUAUUUUUCUUCUUUUUUUUAAUUUCUUUUUUUCUUUUUUUUCCUUCUUGAAGGUCACACUAGUUCCCUGACUGGAAAACCUACACUAUCUGCGACAGGAUGUAUGUUUUCUAUAAUUGCUUUAAACAGGAUUAAUUCUAUUACCAGCUCUCUUAAGUCGUGUUAUUUUGGAAAUAGACUCUGUGACAGAAAUUUGCAUUCAUGGAUUCCUCAGAAAAAUAUCUGUAAAGGAGUGAAAGAAGAUGGGUUGGACAGAAAAAGAAGUCGAACUGCAAAUAAAUGCAAGGAGCUUGAGCUGACCCAGUGGUGAGUUUUACAGCUUAGAUAGGUUUUGAGAUUUGUCUCAUUCAAGGCAAGGGUGUUGGGCCUUUGUACUUACCUAUCAACUUGUCAUUGGAUGAGUUCUGUUCUACAGAGACAAUGUAAUCUUGAAAAAGGCAGCGACUUUUGGCCACUCAAGAUUAG
rnacentral:lncRNA from 12 species